GUAGUGAACCUGCGGAAGGAUCAUUG
rnacentral:rRNA from 4 species